rnacentral:rRNA from 1 species
AACUAACGCUGGCGGCGUGCCUAACACAUGCAAGUCGUACGAGAAAGUUGGCUUCGGCCGAUGAGUAAAGUGGCGCACGGGUGAGUAAUGCGUGGAUAAUCUGCCCUUUAGUUGGGAAUAACGUACCGAAAGGUGCGCUAAUACCUGAUAAUACUGCAUAACUACUGUUGUGUAGUCAAAGAAGGCCUCUGUUUACAAGCUUUUGCUGAAGGAUGAGUCCGCGUACCAUUAGCUGGUUGGUGGGGUAAUGGCCUACCAAGGCUUAUGACGGGUAGCUGGCCUGAGAGGGUGGUCAGCCACACGGGGACUGAGACACUGCCCCGACUCCUACGGGAGGCUGCAGUCGAGGAUAUUUAGCAAUGGGGGAAACCCUGACUAUGUGACGCCGCGUGAGGGAUGAAGGUUUUCGGAUCGUAAACCUCUUUCGAUGGGGAAGAAGUCCUGCAUACUAAUAUUAUGUAGGGUUGACGGUACCUAGAGAAGAAGCCACGGCCAACUCCGUGCC